GUAGGUGCUGGUUCGCUUACUGAAGUCCACCACGACUAUAAAGAAAGGUGCAGUCUACAUCUGUAGGCAACAUCUCUACUGUGCUAGAAGUUACAAGUCAUGUAUUACUAGCAGCAUGUUUAUUUGUGUCCACAGAUCAAAUAGAGGUGGCCCAUGAGGGUUAAGACAUGAUCGACUUGAAGCUAGAAAUGGCAUCUUUCGAAAACAUGCUAAUAUAGAAGCAUAGCCCUUUAUUAAGCAAAGUUUUCAAGUGGAACCUGCGGAAGGAUCAUUAUAGAGAAUGUGCCCUUUGGGUAGAUCUCCCACCCUUUGUUUACAUAUACUUUGUUGCUUUGGCAGGCCUGCUUUACUGCUACUGGCUUCGGCUAGUUAGUGCUUGCCAAAGGACCCAAAUUCUUAAUUGAUGAUGUCAGAGUAUUAAAAUAAUAAUUAAAACUUUCAACAACGGAUCUCUUGGUUCUG
rnacentral:misc_RNA from 1 species